ensembl:lncRNA
CAGGAGAACUACCAGGAGGACUACCAGGUGAACUACCUGGUGGACUACCAGGUGGACUACCAGGAGAACUACCAGGAGGACUACCAGGUGAACUACCUGGUGGACUACCAGGUGGACUACCAGGAGAACUACCAGGAGAACUACCAGGUGGACUAUCAGGAGAACUACUAGGUGGACUACCAGGAGAACUACCAGGAGGACUACCAGGUGGACUACCAGGAGAACUACCAGGAUAACUACCAGGUGGACUACCAGGAGAACUACCAGGUGUACUACCAGGUGGACUAUAAGGUGGACUACCAGGAGAACUAUCAGGUGGACUACCAGGUGGACUACCAGGAGAACUACCAGGGGAACUACCAGGUGGACUACCAGGAGAACUACCAGGUGGACUACCAGAAGAACUACCAGGUGGACUACCAGGAGAACCACCAGGAGAACUACCAGGUGGACUAUCAGGAGAACUACCAGAGCAUCAUUCACAAUCCUCCCAGCCUCUUCACUCGCCAUCCACUCUGGCC